UCUUUCUGGGUGUCAUUUAGUGGUGAUCAAAUCACUGAUUUAUAACCAUUUAUAUUUCAGAUACAGUAACAAGUGACUUUAUAGCAGCUCAUCUAAAGUGUGAUUGCCUGUUUGAUGUCACAGGUUAUUCUUGUUUUGAUAGCAGGAAUAAAAUCUGGCUCAUUUCCUACAGGGAGACAACUUGUUUCUAUCAAUCUGCAAAACUGUCAUUAAAAUCAAUCCUUUCAAUAAUGUAGUUAAGAUUCUUUUCUAUUUAUAAAGAAAAAACAGCAACACACAUCCCUCUGAGCAACCACAGAGGUUCUGCUUUUUGUUUUUGUAGAAUUUUUUGGGGAAAAAGAAUGCUGACACCCAGUCAAAAAGAAAGAGGAAGAAGAGGAGAAAGAGGAUGGUUAUACGUGAGCAGAUCUCAGAGUUGGUUUGAUAUUAACGAGCAGCAGGAUGAAAGAAACGUCUCUGCUGUGUCUGCUCUUUCUGAUCUCACUGCUGAGCUGCACCACAAACCAAGCUCGUCUGACUGUGAGUCCCAG